UUGUCUCUGCGGUUGACGACUCCCCGUCCGGGUCUUCCGACUCCGCCUCCUCCGGCUCCGCUUGUGGU
rnacentral:antisense_RNA from 1 species